CCCGGGCCUUGUACACACCGCCCGUCACGCCACGAGAGUUUGUAACACCCGAAGUCGGUGGGGUAACCGCAAGGAGCCAGCCGCCUAAGGUGGGACAGAUGAUUGGGGUG
rnacentral:rRNA from 1 species